CCUCACCUCCUGCAUCUCCACAUCUCAACAACUAGCUCCUCUACAGCGUCUCCACACCUCCUGUCCUUCAACACCGUCGAUUCGUCCUCCUGCAUCUCCACACCUCCGACGCUGUCGCUUUGUCCUUCCGUCGUUCUCCCUCCAUGGUUCCUUCCCUCUCGACAUCCUCUCCCGCCUCAACCAGCUCUGCUCCUCAGCCUCCACAACAACUCCUUCUCUGACGUCAUAUGCCCUCCGACGCCACGCUGACGUCAGAUAGGUCGGUCCCAAGGUCUGUCGAUUUUAGGCCGGCCCGUAGACUGGCUUAGGCUGGGUGCUAGUCGAUUUCACGGGCUGGAGUGAAUUAACAGGGUGCUAACCUGAUUUUUUGACUGGGUACUGGGCUAUUCCACCUCCGGUGGAACUGCUCUAAUAAGAACCUGUGAGCGCAAGCAUAAGAAAAUUUAGAAUUAAAAUGAAGAUUUCACAUAGCUACAAAGUUUAAGGAUAGUAUGAUAAUUUUGUAUGCUGAUUACCUUUGCAGUCCGGUUACCUUUCUUUUUCAUUUCUAUUUUAAAUUUCUUUGUUUCUUUUCCUUUUCUUUUUGUCUCUCCUCCCUCCUGCAUCCUCUCUCCCUCUUCUCCUAGCGAGCCGACGACUGCCGACACAACGUCUCCGUCGUUCACAGGUCACUAACGCCUGUCAAACUACACAUCCAGAAUGCUCUUGCCGUCCUUUAUCCAAUCCCUGUUAGUUUCUAUAAAUUCGUAGGCGAUUUUCCUCAAUUUCUAAUUUAAGAAACGGUGACCCAGGGUUUUCCGGCCAACUUCCGGCCAAUAUCGCAGGAAUUGGACCUCGACCCAAGAGGUAGAAAUGAUCCUCUUCUCGUGGGCUGUUCUCCAAUUGGAUGUUUAAGACUUAACGUGGAGGAAAUUCUCUCUUGAAGUUGCUUGAACUUACCUAUUUGGUAGACAAGGCUCCUCAAGGGAGAGCUAGCCGGAGGUGUGAGUGGACAUUUAUUUAAGAAAUGUUUUUUUCUUUAUCAAAUAUUAAGCAUGCCUAGAUAAAUAUGAUUUCCGUUACGUUUAGGGGAAAACCAGAUUUUAUGAAUUAAUAUCAGACCUUAUAGUGAAUGAUCAUAUUGUUAUAGUGUAUCAUAAUAUUAUUUAGCUUACACAUGUCAUUCAUCUUACACGUCUAUGGUAUUACAGAACUUUUAGCAUUAUAAAUUGAAAUGCAAAUAUUGGUAGCUAGAGACAACUUUUCCAAAUUACCAUAACAAAUAAGCAAACACUAAUUUAGAAACAAACAGUAAUAAUCACAAUCGAAAUUUAUAAUACAUCAAAUAAGCAACAUAAAUAGUAUUUUUGGAAUGAAAUUCUGGUGCAACAAAUGACCUUUUAUUGACUUGUACAUAUGAUAUAGUAAACGAAUUGCUGAAGCCACAACGUUCUGUAAACGCUUGUCCUGCAUGCAUUGGAGAAUAUUAGAAAACACUGAAAUUGGAAUAAGUUGAAAUGGUAAUGCUUAUUGUAUUUGUGUUUCAGAAAAUAGCGGUUUAAGGACUAAAUUAAUUUUCAAGUCACUUAGCACUACGGUUAUGUUUAUUGUAUAUGUGUUUCUCAAAAUGGUUAUACUUGUUGUAGAUCAGGUGAGACAUGCUAAGAGAAAAAGGUUAUUCCAAUAUUAUUGUGGAAUCUGAUAAAGGUUUCUUGAGGCAGAUGCUAAUCUCAAAAGCUUCUUCCAUCUUAACUGCUAUUGGGUGUAAGACUUUUAUUGGGCUUACAUCUAUUUAGGAGUCCUAAUUAAUUAAGGAUAAAAGAAAGGAAGUAAUAUCUGAUUAGUCCGGAUUAUUUAUGGUGAAGUAUAGCAAUAAUUUUUGGGAAUAUCUAUCCUAUUAGGUCAUGGAUUUUAGAGGUGCUAAAGAUCUGUAUUAGGGGUUUCUUCAUGGGCAAGAAACCUAAUACUCUCACCUAUAAAUAUAAGGCUUAGAUCCCACUUUUAUACACAUUAUUCUAGCACAAAACACCACCCCAUAUAGGAGUGCAUAAGGGGUGUAGAGAGAGAGGAAGAUCUUUGCUUGUUCGUUGCUGAUCAUGGUUCAAUCUUGUUCAUAUCAAUGGCUUCUCAAGGUUAGUACUUUUAGAGUGCAUAUUAUAGAUCGACUUGCAUUGGGUACCUCGAAAAAAUGAAUUAGGUAGCAGAAUGUGGUUCGACAAUCCUUAUUGUUCAAUUUUUAAAGUACUAUCCAUUUAUGUAUAUACUAUAAAACAUGGAAGAAUAAUUUUUCGAGUACUUUAUAGAUAAUUUCAUCAGUUUUUACUAAACCUAGAAGAAGUUGGAGAUGGAAACAUGCUAACCUUUGUGUUUGAUCAAUCAAUUCUGUUAGUCAUCUUCAUCCUCCCCAGAGAAUUCGUCAUCUUCAUUUUCAUCCUCACUGUACAAUUCGUCAUCGUUAUCCUUCCUGUUUUAGAAAUAAAAGACAGAUGUUUUCUUGAGAUAGAAUUGAGUUUUAAAAAAUAAAAUUACUUAAAUACACUUUAGUGUGAACAUAUGCACAUAUAAAUAUGAACGGUUGAUAUUGAUUUCCCUAAAUUUGUAGUCAAAAUUGUGGUGGUGUUAGCCAUAUUAUGCUUGUAGCUCGAAACCAGAACGUAUUUGUUGGUUGAAUAAAUAGAAAUGUAAGAUUGAGCAUAUAUAGCUCACAUACUGCAAAUUAUCAACCUAGCUAUUCUUCAGUCCUUCGUAAAAACAUUAGAAAUCCCACGCAUGCAUCAAGGAUCGAAAGAGUUGGAACAAACAGCAUGAAGCAUUACUGUAGUCUCUAAAAGUUUAUAUUGACGUAAUUGUAAUUGUUUAGGAGAAAAUAUUUGUUGGUUCAGUGGUUGUAUAUUGAUGAUGCGGUCUUCCAGGUGGACACAAAAGUGACUGCAAAUUAGAAACAUUAAUUUAAAGCAUACCUUGUGUCAUAAAUGUUCCUUAGAGUGGCAUUGAGGUCCCCGUCCAUUCCUGUCGAAAUGCGGUUUUUACUUGCAAUCGGGGAUUAUGCGUGUCAACAUGCUUAGGAUCAAAUGGCCCUACGUCUUGCACACUAAUAACGCUCAAUAACUCCAAAGAUGGCAACUUCAAAGUAUAAGCUUCACCACAAAAAUACUUGAGUUUUGGCAGACUUGCAAGCUUGAUGGACUUCACUUUAGUUUGACUAUGGAGGACAGAAACAAGUAUUUCAACUGGUUGCA